GACGAACGCUGGCGGCGUGCUUAACACAUGCAAGUCGAACGGUAAGGCCCUUCGGGGUACACGAGUGGCGAACGGGUGAGUAACACGUGGGUGAUCUGCCCUGCACUUCGGGAUAAGCCUGGGAAACUGGGUCUAAUACCGGAUAGGACUCCGGACUGCAUGGUCUGGGGUGGAAAGCUUUUGCGGUGUGGGAUGGGCCCGCGGCCUAUCAGCUUGUUGGUGGGGUGAUGGCCUACCAAGGCGACGACGGGUAGCCGGCCUGAGGGGGUGACCGGCGACACUGGGACUGAGAUACGGCCCAGACUCCUACGGGAGGCAGCAGUGGGGAAUAUUGCACAAUGGGCGCAAGCCUGAUGCAGCGACGCCGCGUGAGGGAUGACGGCCUUCGGGUUGUAAACCUCUUUCAGCAUCGACGAAGCGAAAGUGACGGUAGGUGCAGAAGAAGGACCGGCCAACUACGUGCCAGCAGCCGCGGUAA
rnacentral:rRNA from 1 species